CCCCUCUCAGGAUUGCACCUGGAGAGUUUCCAGUCCCCUACCAGACUCUGCUAUGGAAGGGAGAGUCAAGCAGAGACAUACCCAUUCCAUUCCUAGCUUGGGCUGUGGCUAGCUAGUGGAAGGCAAUUUGCUACAAGU